CUUAUUCUUAAAAGGCAGUCUCCCUCCGUCCGGAACAGCAGUUCUCAGAAGUGCCUCCAACUUUCCCUGCCUGGAGGAUGCUGACCACCGCCCCACACCUCCUCUCCAUCACAAUUAGAGGCGAUGGGGCGCGGGGCUCAAGGGAGCGAGGGUGGACGAACGACCUCUCAGGUCCUCGACCCCUGGGUUUCUGGAAGCUACCUGCAGCGGAACCGCAGACAGGAGCAGUGAGAGCCUGUCUUCUGCGCCCAUUCUGCCGAAAGGUUCCCACUGGCAAAGUGGCAAGGCCGGCCUCGAGUUAGAGUGCGGGGCAGCCUGGCUGCGGAGAAGUUCGCGACUGCGGCGCCGGGGACCAGGAGGAACUCCCCCCCACCCCCAGGCCCCCAGCCCGGGGCACGCAGGACUCGGCUUACCUUCUACUUCCUUUGAUCCUCCAGUCCUCGCUGGGGCGUCCUCGUCACCUCCCUUGACCUGUUGAGAUGCAGGGACGCCAGUUCAGCUCUAGAGCUGAAGGGCUCGAGGGUGCAGCCGGCACUACGGUGCGUACAGGCUGCGGGCCGAGUGCACCCGGGCUCUGCCAGCUUCGGGCAUCUGCCGCCCGGAGGCCCAGGCCACGCCCGCCGCACCAGACCACGCCCCUCGCUUCACCCCACCCCCCCCACCCGGUCCAGCUCCGCCCCGGUCCACGCCCUCCGGCCCGCGCCACCCUAAAGGCUAGGAACAUCGCGGUCCUCCUGCGGAGACGCGAGUGGGAGGAUCGUGGGGUGAGGGGUGGCUGCGGAUCCGGAGAGAACGCGGCAGUGACUGCGCCGGCCGCGUGGGUGACCCUGCCCCAGGCUGCUGUGGGGACCCUAGAACCCUUUAGCUUGACAACCAGAUUAAGCUCCGGGUCAAGUUGCGAGGGGAAGUGUCAAGGCGGCUUUUUGCAAGCUGUACAACUGAAUAGGAUUCCAUGUCCUUUAAUGGCGAUAACAACUAGCAUCUGGGAGCGAUUUACAGGAACGGGCUCUUCACUCACAGGCCCAGUUCAUCUUCUCAGCAACCUUCUUAAACAGAUACACUGUUCCCAUUUCUCAAAUAAUGAAACCGAAACUCUGCUCAAUAUCGCCGACCUGCCACAAAGUCACUUAGGAAAGCUGUGCUUCGGAGUUGCGCCUCAGGCUUUUUGCGCUCUGCCCGCUCAACCGCUGGGAAUUCUAAUGGAUGUUCAGGACGCGGUGGUGCAGACCCACAGGAAGAAGGGUUCAGUUCCUUUAAGAGUCCUACUCUGAGCAAGCUAAUCAGCUGUCCCCAAUCCCGAACCUCACUUUCUUUCCUGAAAAAGUCAGGGUGUAUGAAAUGUCCUAGGACACGCCCCCGAGUGUUCUCUUUUUGAGACAGAUUCCCACUAGGUAGCCCUGGUUGCCCUGAAAUUCACUAUGCGCCACUAU